rnacentral:lncRNA from 1 species
CAGACCCUGUUAAUGUGGAGGAGUAUGUGGAAACACACAAAUGUAUGAGCAGAGCUUGAUGUAAACCUCUGAAUACGCUGAACUCACUGUCUGGAUUUGUUGUGUUUUCAGGUGGGACCCUCUUCUGAUAUGUGAUCUACAGCCAGCUCCGUUGAGUCGUACGAUGACAAUGUUAUCACUGCCACAUCUCUGGGAACCAGUUAUUCAUAAGGAUACGGACUGUCUACUUAAGAAGCUGAGAGUGAGUUAGAAACAUUGAUGAAGCCUCUAUUCUGUGAGUCAAUGGUGACUGCGGGAGGUGAAAAAUUGCAAACAAAACUAAGGAGAAGUUCGAGUUAGCUGUGGAGCCAAAAGUGUGAUUCAGGAG